rnacentral:lncRNA from 1 species
UUUGGUUAGGAAUUAAUAUUUGAUUAGGAUUUGAUUUAGGAUUUAGGAUUUGGUUUAGGAUUUAGGGUUUGGAUUAGGAUUUGAUUUAGGUUUUAGGAUUUGGAUAGGAUUUGAUUUCGGAUUUAGGGUUUGGAUUAGGGUUUGAUUUAGGGUUUAGGAUUUGGAUUAGGAUUUGGUUAAGAAAUAAGGUUUGAUUAGGGUUUGAUUUAGGAUUUAGGGUUUAUCUAGGGUUUGAUUAAGGUUGGAUUAGGAUUAAGAUUUGGUUAGAAUUUAAAGUUUUAUUAGAUUUUUGUUAGGAUUUAACUAAGUUUUCUUUAAUAUUCUUUUAUAUUUCUUUAGGAUUUUUUUGUGUUUCUUUUAUAACUUUAAUAAAAUUUAAUUGAACUUGUUUAAUAUUUGAUUAUGAUUGUUAACGUUUAAUUAUAAAUUCUCUAUGAUCCUAUUGAAUUGUUAAGACCUUUCGUUGUAAUUUUCUUUUACCUUCCACAGCUAGGUGCUCGGUGCAUUCUCAAGCAAGACUUCACGUAAUACGACAUAUUUGGUGAACCUGACGUGAAACGCUUGAGAUGGAAGGAAUUUGGUUUUUUUUUUUUUGAUUAUUUGAAUUAUGGAGAAGAAAGGAAAGAGAAUGGAAGGAAGAGCUUUUCGUGGUGCUUCAAGUGGAGUUGGAAGUGGAGCUUCAAUUGAAAGGCAAGGUAUGUAUUUUGAUCCCAAAUCUGCAAGUAUCUUUGAGACAUUGGCCUUAUUCAUGCAACAACAACAGGUUAAGGAUCGCAAAGAGGUCAUGGCAGACAAAGCAUUACAAGCUGUUGUAGACAAGAUUGAUUAAUUUGAAGGGAAGGAUAUUACAAAAUACUUAAGGUGUUACGUAAAGGAAAUGGAAUUGAAGCGUGUUUCAGAGAAGGAGAUGGUUCAGCUAUUUGAAUUGGCUACUGCAUUAGAGAUAAGAAAUCAUGUGAAGUCCAUUAUAGGACAUUUUGGAGGUUCAUGGAAAAAAUUAUCUCAAGCAUUAAAGGAUGAGUAUUUUUUAGAAGAUAGUCACCGAGUUACAAAGAAGUCAUAUUUUGAAUGGAUUAAAAGGCCUAAGAAGGAUCUACUAGCAACGGAGUUACUAAAAGAGUUUGAAAAGCAAUAUUCUUGUUUAUCAAAGAAGGAGAGGCAAUUAUUAGAUCCAAGUAAAGUGGAGCUUUUUCUUCAAGCGACUAAUAGAGAGUUGGAAGAAAAGUUAGAAGUUUUGCUAGAAAAUAAAGAAGAAGUUGAAGGAUUGACAACAAAUUCAGAGAAAAUAGAAGAGGCGAUUGAGGUGCUUGCAAAAAGAGAAAAGAGAAAAGAUAGGAUGGAAAUUCAAAGUCCAUUGCAAGCAUCUAAAGAAAAAAAAUGCCUGCUAUCUAUCCUACAUCUACGAUUCAACCUUCAAUUGCUACAUCAAAGAGAGAAGAAAUGGGCAUUGAUGAAAUCAUAUGAGGUAUGAGAGAUUUAUAAAUAAAAUUUACAAAACUAGAAGAGAUGGGUCAAUCAUCAAGAAUAUCAACAAGACAAAAUUAAAGACCAAUAGAAGGUAUGAUGCAUAGGUGCAUGUGGUGUGAUAGCAUAGAACAUUCAAGAAGGGAGUGUGGGGAUUUUUCAGAGGUGCUAUGCAAAAGAGUUGUUUUUUUUAAAGAUGGUAUGAUACAGUUAAAAGAGAGUGGAGAAAAAUUAGAGACAAAUUUUGGUAAAGGGGGAAUGAAGGUAUUUGUAGGAGAUGCUUUCAAGGUGCAUACAACUUCAAGCAAUGAAGUAUCAAUAUUUUGGGUGGAGGCAAAUCCAAGCAAAUGCUUAAGUAUAAAUCUUGAGUAUCCAGGAGAAUCUAGUUCUUUAUGGUCAAAUGCAAUGAAUUAUGCUGAAAAGGGAUAUUUUACUAGAGAUGAUCUAAAACAUGUUGGCAAUAAUAUUUGGCAAAUUAUUGGGUGGGAUGAUCUAGUAGAUAGAUUAUCAGUUCAUGCUCAUAUUGCAAGGAGUCAACAUGAAGCAUUAAUAGAAGAAAAACGAAGGAGAGACGAAAAUCAAGAAGGGCCAUCAAAAAGAAUCACAAGGGGUGAUAAAACUCGACAACAAAAGAAUCCUAUGCAUGAAGAGUCAAUAGAGAAAAUUUCUACAAAGGAGAAGGAGAUUGUGAAAGAAAAAGCAAAGGUUCCUGCUUAUAAAUUACAAUCAGAUAUUGAAGUUGCUAUAGAUUUGAAGAAAGUAUUGGAGGAGCAGAUUUUAAGUGAAAAAAUUAAAUUUAUAAUUAGUGAAAUUCUAGGAAUUGCAAAACCAGAAUUUCAUGAAGUUAUUAUUGAUACAAUAAAAAGAAAACGGCAAUCUAUUGAUGAUACUAUGACAUCAAAUGCACAAGGUACAAAGGCAAUAGGAAGCAAUGAAGAUGAAGAAAUUGAAAUGCAAAUUAUUAGAGAUGUUUUACGAGUCAAAUUUACAGAAAAAGAAGAUAUGAUUCAAGCUUCUAGUCAUUAUUCUCGGAGUCAUUGAGCAAGGGCUACUAUGGAAACUUUAGUAAAAUUGGGAGAUUUAGAAGAAAUUAUUGUAGCAUUGAUUGAUCAUGGUUCUGAAAUAAAUUUAAUGUCAACAGAAUUAUAUAAAAAAGAAAAUUGGCCUAUUGAUAUUGAGCAUGGAUGGAUGAUAAGAGCAGCAAAUAAUUCAAAAGAGAAUUUGUAUGGAGCUUGUCCAAAUAUCAAGGUGACAAUAAGAGAUGUUAUUCAUGAACAAAAUUUCUUUGUGCAAGAUAUAUCUACAUAUCCUAUUAUAUUAGGACAACCAUAUAUUACUGCCACACAAAUGGAGACAAAGGUUAUGGAUGAUGGAUCAGCUUAUGCAAAGAUAAGAAGUCAAGACAGAAAGAAGGCGGUGUAAUUUUUAACAGUUUGUGUAAAUCAUGGAAGAAAUAGGGAUAGUUUGAGGGAGCAUUCUUUGCCAAAGAUACAUAAAGAAUUUGAAGAUCUUGAAGAUUCAAAGGAUUUUUACUAAACACCAUUGUAAAGGGGGAUUGCAAUGGUAAAAAGAAUGAAGGCUUUCCACCUAAUAGAAAGGAUGAAGAUAUUAUAGGAUUAUUGCAAGACGGAUAUAUUUUAUUCAAAAACAUAAAUAAUUUUAGUAGGAUAGAUAAAAAAAAUGUUAAGAAUGUACAACAGGGAUUAAAGAAAUAUGAAGUGAUUGAUGAAGAUGAAUACAUAUCAGGGAUGUUUGAAAAAUCUUAUUUUGGUGAUACUAUGAAUGAUUUACAAAUAUUAUUGAAUGAAGAUUUUGAAAGAGAUGAUAAAGUAACAAAUAUCCAUUCUAAGUAAUUUUAUGAUGGAAUAAAAGAAUAUAUGGAUAGGUAUGAAGUGAAGGUGAACACAAAAUACAAGACUGUUGCAAAGAAGGUUAAACCAGUGGCAUUGCCACUACCAUUGGAUUUUGAAGAAAGGAUUAAAGGGGCUUCUAUGCAACCUAAUUUAAGAGAUCCAAGGAAAAUAGGUCAUGAAUUUAAGGAUAAUUUGAUGUUAGAUGGUUUGAAAAUUGGAUGUGAUAAAUUUUUGAUAAGAGAUGAGGAGAGAUGUUUUAAAGAAAUGCUUUCAUGACAUGAUAAAGCAUUUGCAUUUGAAUCACAUAAAAUAAGGUGCAUUGAUCUAAGUAUUGUAGCACCUAUGGUUAUUUUUACAAUUCCACAUGAACCAUGGAAUUUGAGGCCAAUUCCAGUUCCAAAGGCCCAUUUACCAAAGCUAGUUGAAUUACUGAAUGAAAAAAUUAAGAUGAAAAUUUUAGAACCAUCUAUUGCACCAUAUUCCAAUCGGUGGUUCACAGUACUUAAGAAAAAUGGAACAUUGAGGUUUAUUCAAGAUGUGCAACUGGUGUCAUGUUGUGAUUCGGCUACUAUAUGAAAAUAAUGUAAUUAUGUACUUAAUAUAUAAUUUAUUAAAUAACAUAGUGAGAGCCAUGUUAGUAGAUUUUAGUUGGUUGUAGAAUAUAAUUUGAUUAUUACUUUGAGAAGAGGUUGUUUAAAAAGAUUACUAUAGAAUUUGUAUAACUUUAAUUUCCUUUUGAUAGUGGCUUUUAAGAUUGGUUUUGGUUGAUAGUAACUUCUAAAUAUUUAGAGUCACCUUUGUUAGACAUUGGUGACAUUUGAAAACUUAUUUUGGUUCUUUUAUUUGGUGUUUAGAGCAUACAUUAUGUAAAUCUUAUAAGAAAAAGGAUUGAAGAAGGAUUUUGGUAGCAAAGGGUAUAAUUAGGGCACCAAUAUAGAUGAAUGGAGAUGAAAAAUAAAAAUCUCCAUUCCUACUGGUCAAAAAUCAUGACCAAUGGGCUUUGAGGAGGCUGCCCGAGGCCAUAUUAGGGAUUAGGAUUAGUUUUUCGAGGCAUUCGAUCAUUGAAUGCUAGGGUCAAAAGGUUUAGGUUUUUGGUUAAGGUUUUGGUGCAAGUUUUGUGUCAUUUGGGGUUUUUAUGAAGAAGUUAUAGGCGCUCAAAGUGAAGGUAUUAGUUUUGGAUCUAUUGUCACUCUUUUGAGAAUACGCAUGCGUACGGAUGGCAAUUGAGGAUCAGUGACCGCGACUGGAGAGAGCACUUUUGCGGCUAUACUUUUCGCUUAUUGCUUACUGGAUUCUAAGUUGGGAUGAAGGAGUUAUUAGAUUUUGAAGUCAGCACAUGCAAUCUAAAGGUAGUAAGUAAACCGAUUUACUAGUGUUUGUCUCUUGAGCUAUAUCUUGAGAAAUUUGACAAGGUUUUGGCUCAAAAUUUCAAGGAAUGUGUAAUUUCAUGUUAGUAAACUUUGUGCAUAAGUUUUAUGACAUUUGGAGUUCGGAUUUUUGAGAUAUAAGGAAAAUAGUUUUUCGGGUGCUUAUAAAUUAGGGUUUGGAGUGUCUGCUAGGGUUUCUUAGAUGCCAGAAGAUCGAGAGUGAAUUUGUAGUUGGUUUUUUUUGUGGUAAAAUUUAAGGGUAAAUUCUACCUAUUUUAUAAAUUUGAAAAGCAUUGAACGGUUAGAUCAAUAGUUAUGAUUUUCUAAAGUUCAGGGCGAGAAAACCCCUUCGCGGGAAAAAUAUGUUUUGAAGGGAUUUUGUUAUAUUUGGAGUUUUAUACAAAAAUAAAGGAGUUUUGGAAGCCAAGAAAAGAAUCAUAUAAAGGUUUAAGAUACACUCUCUACAGCUAGAUAUCCAGUGUAUUCCCAGAUAGCAAAUCAUGCCAUACAACAUCGGUAAAUAAAAUGUCUAUUAGAAACAUGGGCUCGAGUCCAAUUGUCGAUGAAUUUGUAGAGGCAUUUACAAGGAGAUCAAUUUAUUCUAUAGGAGAUCUUUACUCAGGAUACGAUCAAUUCUAAUUGGCAAUGCAAAGUAGAGAUUUGACAACUAUGAAGACACCAUUAGGAUUGGUCAGAAUGUGUACAUUACCACAAGGGGCUACAAAUUUUGUAGCACACAUGAUGAAUGGAAUGCAUAAGGUACUAAGAGAUUUUAUUCUAAGAAUAAAAAUACCUUUUUUAGAUGAUGUACCAAUUAAGGGAUGUGAAGAAAAAAGAAAAGAUGAAACUUUGGAUUCAAAGGGAUGUAAGAAGUUUGUGGUAGAUCAUAUUGAAGAUUUUGAGAAGAUUUUGAAAAGAUUCGAAGAAGUUCAUUUAACCUUAUUAGGGAUAAAAUUAAUGUUUGGAGUAAAAGAAAUUUUGGUGGUAGGAUACAUGUGUAGUUCAUAUGGACGUAAGCCAAGUAUAGAAAAGAUGGAUAUUAUUAAAAAGAUGAAAAAAUGUAAAAAUAUAACGAAAGUGAGAAGAUUUUUAGGAGCAUGUAUUUUCUAUCAUAUAUGGAUACUUCACUUUGCACAUAUAGCAGAUCCAUUGUAUGAGUUAUUAAGAAAGAAUCAAAAAUUUCAACGGAAAGAAGAACAACAUAAAGCUACGGAAAAAUUGAAAGAACUUCUUUCUUCAUCUCCAACUUUGAAGAAAGUAAAUUAUGAAGGUAGAAGGCCAGUGGUAUUAACAGUUGAUGCAAGUCCAAUUGGAAUAGGUUGAGCGGUUGGACAAGAUGAUGAACAAGGGAAUAGAUAUGUAAUAAGAUUUGGAGCAAAGGUAUUGAAUUCUAGGCAAAGGGCAUAUGCGCAAAUCAAAAGAGAAUUAUCGAGUGUAGUAUUAGCUAUGAAAAAUAAAAAAGAGUACUUGAUUGGGGCAUCGGUAGUUAUAGAAACAGAUUGUCUACCUUUAUUGGACAUGAUUACAAGUUGUUCAACUCCUGGUAUUGCUAUGUUGAGAUAGAUAGCAUAUAUCAAAUCUAUGAAUUCAGAAUUUAAACAUAUUACUGAGAAAGAAAAUUCAGUUGUAGAUAUGUUAUCAAGAGCGAAGUAUAAUGAUGAAGAAAAGAUGAUUGAUUUAGAAGAUGAUAUGGGUACAAAUUUUUAUACCAAUGCGUUAUCAAAGGAGAAGGGUGUAUGUUUUAAUAUACCAUUGGAAAUAUUUUUAAGAGAUUUAUAUGAAAAUGAAUGGAAAGAUGUUGGGGAGUAUUUGAGCACAUUAAAAUGACAAAAAGGUUGGACGGAUCAAGAAUUUAAGAAAAUCCAUAAGAAAGCCUAUGGAUAUUUUUUACAUGAUGGAUAUUUAUGGAAGCAUCCAAAAAAAAGAGAAGAAGUACCACAAAGGAUAAUAUGUGGUUUAGAAGCUCAACAAAAGAUUAUUAAAGAAUUUCAUAAAAAUUUAUGGACAGGGCAUCGAGGUAUUUGGGCAACAUUCACUAAGUUAAGAAAAAAAUAUUGGUGGAAGGGAAUGUACAAAGACAUAGCAAAAUUUGUAGAAUCUUGUGAGACUUGCCAAGUAUAUUCAAAUAUUCGACAUCAAGAUGGAUUACAUCCAACAUAUCCUUUGGAUUUACAUUACAAAUGGAUGGUGGAUUUAGUAGGAAUGCCUAUGGGACUUGGACAAAUGAAGUAUUUGAUACUUGCACGAGAAGAUUUAUCAAAUAUGGUUGAAGGUCGAGCAUUAAGAACAAAGGAUACUAAAGGUGUAUGUCGAUUUCUAUUAGAAGAAGUAAUUUAUUGCUAUGGUUGUAUUGAAAAAAUUACAGCAGAUAGGGGUGAAUUAGAUGCAAAAGAAGCAUGAGAAUUCUUUAGUAGGAUAGGAAUUAAACUUUCUAUAACAACAGCAUAUAAUCCAGAAGGUAAUGGUAAAAGUGAGCAUGGGCAUUCACCUAUUGUUAAGGCAUUAGUAAAGGCAUACAAUGGCAAAGCACAUGAAUGGCCUAGACUACUACCAUUUGCACUUUAGGCAGAUCGUACAACUCAUAGUUUAGUAACAGGUUAUAUGCCUUCUGAAUUAAUAUAUGGUCAAAAACCAGUAAUGCCAAUAGAAGAUGUAGUACCUACAUGGGGUGUAUUGCCUUGGAAGAAUGAUUUCAAUAGAGAAGAACUUUUAACAUUACGGAUUCAAUAACUAGAAAGAAGACCCAACGGUAUUGAAAUAGCAAUAAAAAAAUUGAAAGAAGCAAGGGAAAAGAAUAAGGAAAGAUUUGAUAAAAAACAUCGACUACGACCCAAGGCUAUUGAAGAUGGUGAUUGGGUAUUAAUUUAUGAUAGUAGCUUAGACAAUCAACAUAGCACUAUGAAGAAGUUUGCAAAGAGAUGGUUUGGACCUUAUACUGUCAAAAAGGCACACAACAAUGGAACAUAUUCAUUACAAGAACUUGAUGGUACAGAAUUGAAGGUACCCAUAGCAGGCAAACGAAUCAAGUUAUUUAAACAAAGAGAUGAAGGCAUUUGUUUUGAUGAAGAACAAACUCAAAUACAAGAUAUUGAGAUUGGAAUAGAAGAACAUAUUGAAGUUCAAGAAUUGUACCAAGAUGAAGAACAUUCUACAUCAACAUAUUGAAGAAUCUUUGGUGCAUGUCGGAAGAUGCACAGAUUCAGGAGGGGUAGAUGUCAUGAUGUAACAUGAUUAAUAGGUGAAAGAGUGUGGAGAUUAUUAUAGUUUAGGAGAUCUUAGUUCAAAUUAUUAGAACAAAUUAUCUUAGAAAUAUAGUUAAUAGUCAAAAGGAUAGAAAAAUUAAAGGGUACGAAUGCUGCCUUUUAGAAAGGUGACUUCUACUUACUUUGUAGAACCAUAAGUAAGGCAAAUCAAAGUAGAUUGGAAAAACAAAUGAUAUAGACAUCUUUAGAAUAAAGUUAAGAGUAAAUUCUAGAAAAAAAUUACUUAGAAAAACUAGAUAUUGAUACCUGGAGAGGGUCGGUUAUGAACCAGGGUCGAAAUCAGACCCUAGGGCACAAAACCGAGUCUCGAUGACGACGCCGGGGUUCUUUUGGAGAUCGGAGAGUGAGGAUUGAUAGCAGACUGCAUAAGCUUUUUAUGAAGGUUGAUUUUGGGUGAUUUGGAGUUGAUGUGACUUUGUAAGAGGUUUGCAAAGUUGAGGUUUGUUUCAGAUGAUUUGGGUUUUAUGAAAUAAAAUAGGAUUUACGUUUUGGGUGAUUUCAAGAGUUUUGUAAUAGAUCUAUAAGUGAAAUUUUGUGGAUUUAUGGUUAUAGUUGUGUUUAAUAUGUGUCAUGAAUUUGAGCUUGAUCUAAUGGUUGAAUUGAGGAUUAUUGAGGUUUAAGUGGGUCAUGGUCUCAGAAAGUAGAAUUUUAGGUCUAGUGGGAGUUUUUGAGAUUUCUUGCAAUCUAUUGGUUGGAUUGGAGUGAAACUUAUGUUAAAGGAUAUUAGACUUGUUUUUCUAUGUGUAUGAGAAUUUUGAGAUCAAUCGAAAGGUACAAAGGAGAGAUAUUGGCUCUGGAAGAUUGGCAUUAAGAUUAGAGAAGGAGGCUGACCAAUACCCGAGCACAUUUUUGAGGAUAUCGUCAAUUUGGUAACUCUGAUCCUUAUCAAAAAUUUUGGGUUUGUUUUUAACUUAUUUAUUUAGAAGUGUGAAAAUUUUUAGUUAAGAUCAAUGGUUUAUUCAUUAGUUAUUGAGAUUUAAAUCUGUUGUAGGAAUUAUUAGGGUUUGGUUAGGAUUUCGUUUGGAGUUUAGGAUUUGGAUUAGGGUUUGAUUUAGGAUUUGAUUUAGGAUUUAGGAUUUGGAUUAGGGUUUGGUUUAGGAUUUAGGAUUUGGAUAGGGUUUGGUUUAGGAUUUAGGAUUUGGAUUAGGAUUUGGUUUAAGAUUUAGGGUUUGGAUUAGGAUUUGGUUAGAAAUUAAUAUUUGAUUAGGGUUUGAUUUAGGAUUUAGGAUUUGGUUUAGAGUUUAGAGUUUGGAUUAGGGUUUGAUUUAGUUUUUAGGAUUUGAAUAGGAUUUGGUUUCGAAUUUAGGAUUUGGAUUAGGGUUUGGUUUAGGAUUUAGGAUUUGAAUUAGGAUUUGGUUAGGGAUUAAGGUUUGAUUAGGGUUUGUUUUAGGAUUUAGGGUUUGUCUAGAAUUUGAUUAAGGUUGGAUUAGGAUUAGGAUUUGGUUAGAAUUUAAAGUUUUAUUAGAUUUUUGUUAAGAUUUGACUAAGUUUUUUUUAAUAUUCUUUUAUAUUUCUUUAGGAUUUCUUUGUGUUUCUUUUAUAACUUCAAUAAAAUUUAAUUUAGCUUGUUUAAUGUUUGAUUAUAAUUUUUAAAGUUUAGUUAUAAAUUCUCUAUGAUCCUAUUGGAUUGUUAGGACCUUUUGUUGUAAUUUUCUAUUACCUUCCAUAGCUAGGUGCUCGGUGCAUUUUCAAGCAAGACUUCACGUAAUACGACAGUACCACAUAGUUAGCUUGUUCUGUAA